ACACAGCAGUUAAGCUCUCCAGCGCCCAUGGUAGUUGGGGCUCGCGCCCCUGCAAGAGUAGGACGUUGCCAGGC
rnacentral:rRNA from 1 species